GGGAAGGUGGCUCAGUGGUAGAGUGCUUGCCUUGCAUGCAUGAGACCCUGGGUUCGAUUCCUCAGCCCCA
rfam:Dipodomys ordii contig_61093, whole genome shotgun sequence.